rnacentral:rRNA from 1 species
AAUGCAUAGGAAAUUGCCUUGAAGUGGGGGAUAGCCCGGAGAAAUCCGGAUUAAUACCGCAUAUGCUCUACGGAGCAAAGUGGGCCUCUGAUUUAAGCUCAUGCUUUGAGAUAUGCCUAUGUCGGAUUAGCUAGUUGGUAGGGAAAAAGCCUACCAAGGCGACGAUCCGUAGCUGGUUUGAGGGGAUGAUCAGCCACACUGGGUCUGAGACACGGCCCAG